GAUGAACGCUAGCUACAGGCUUAACACAUGCAAGUCGAGGGGAAACGAUAGAGAAAGCUUGCUUUUUCUAGGCGUCGACCGGCGCACAGGUGAGUAACGCGUAUCCAACCUGCCCAUCACUUGGGGAUAACCUUGCGAAAGUAAGACUAAUACCCAAUGAUAUCUCUAGAAGACAUCUGAAAGGGAUUAAAGAUUUGUCGGUGAUGGAUGGGGAUGCGUCUGAUUAGCUUGUUGGCGGGGUAACGGCCCACCAAGGCGACGAUCAGUAGGGGUUCUGAGAGGAAGGUCCCCCACAUUGGAACUGAGACACGGUCCAAACUCCUACGGGAGGCAGCAGUGAGGAAUAUUGGUCAAUGGGCGAGAGCCUGAACCAGCCAAGUAGCGUGCAGGAUGACGGCCCUAUGGGUUGUAAACUGCUUUUAUAAGGGAAUAAAGUGAGUCUCGUGAGACUUUUUGCAUGUACCUUAUGAAUAAGGACCGGCUAAUUCCGUGCCAGCCGCCGCCGUAA
rnacentral:rRNA from 1 species